GUGUCCCAUUUCUGGACUGGAAACUCUUAGAACAAGGAGCAACAUAUACAUCUCUGUACUUUUUCAAGGCAAGGAUCGUAUCUCAGACAAGUUCCCAAGCCUGAUGCCCAGUGCAGCACCCUAAGGAAUGGAAAUGGAGCUGCUUCAGACUUCACAGGAGCAGGCAUGGCUAAAGAAACUCCCCCAAAGACCUCACAGCAAGCCCAGGAUGAGGAGAUUCAGCCUUUGUGAAGAGAUCUUGGAUGUUGAAGUAAAAUGUGAUUAUUCGUAUAGAAGUAACAGAGAUCUGGCCAAGGAUGGAGCAACAUCUCUCAAAGGCUGAGAACACUCUCUGGGUUGCACUUCGAUGGCAGCGGCAAAAGGUCUGGUGUUCUCUCCUGGGCCUUUAAUUUCUCCUCUGAACUUUAAAGGUGCCUAAACCUUUCCAAAACCAUUCUAUUACUUUCAUCACCACAGUCUCCCUCUUUUUCCAAACUCUAUCUCCUCCCCUUCUGUUCAAUAUGAGAAAGAGGGAGAAACAGCAAGGAAGCAAGGAGUGCAGGUAAGACUGUACAGUUCUCUGCUGUUUUUGUUCUCAUUGCUGCUUGUGGGGAAGGAGUAGAGCCAACAAAGUCUGGGAAAACAUUCCCCUGGCUCUUCCUUUAUACUUCUUUAGGCCACUUCGUGUUUUGUUCUUAGUAACCAACAAAUGUCUAAACCUCCUACAUUUUAUGUGCCUGUAUUGAUCUUAUAAUCUUUAACCAUAAUGUCUUUGGCCCAAAACAUAUUUUGG
rnacentral:lncRNA from 1 species